GAUGAACGCUGGCGGCGUGCCUAAUACAUGCAAGUCGAGCGAACAGAUUAGGAGCUUGCUCCUCUGACGGUAGCGGCGGACGGGUGAGUAACACGUGGAUAACCUACCUAUAAGACUGGGGUAACUUCGUGAAACCGGAGCUAAUUCCGGAUAAUAUAUUUAACCGCAUGGUUCAAUAGUGAAAGAGGGUUUUGCUGUCACUGAUAGAUGGAUCCGCGCCGCAUUAGCUAGUUGGUAAGGGAACGGCUUACCAAUGCAACGAUGCGUAGCCGACCUGAGAGGGUGAUCGGCCACACUGGAACUGAGACACGGUCCAGACUCCGACGGGAGGCAGCAGUAGGGAAUGUUCCGCAAUGGGCGAAAGCCUGACGGAGCAGCGCCGCGUGAGUGAUGAAGGUCUUCGGAUCGUAGAACUCUGUUAUUAGGGAAGAACAAAUGUGUAAGUAACUAUGCACGUCUUGACGGUACCUAAUCAGAAAGCCACGGCUAACUACGUG
rnacentral:rRNA from 1 species